CAUGCAAGUCGAGCGAGCUUGCCUAGAUGAAUUUGGUGCUUGCACCAGAUGAAACUAGAUACAAGCGAGCGGCGGACGGGUGAGUAACACGUGGGUAACCUGCCCAAGAGACUGGGAUAACACCUGGAAACAGAUGCUAAUACCGGAUAACAACACUAGACGCAUGUCUAGAGUUUAAAAGAUGGUUCUGCUAUCACUCUUGGAUGGACCUGCGGUGCAUUAGCUAGUUGGUAAGGUAACGGCUUACCAAGGCAAUGAUGCAUAGCCGAGUUGAGAGACUGAUCGGCCACAUUGGGACUGAGACACGGCCCAAACUCCUACGGGAGGCAGCAGUAGGGAAUCUUCCACAAUGGACGCAAGUCUGAUGGAGCAACGCCGCGUGAGUGAAGAAGGGUUUCGGCUCGUAAAGCUCUGUUGGUAGUGAAGAAAGAUAGAGGUAGUAACUGGCCUUUAUUUGACGGUAAUUACUUAGAAAGUCACGGCUAACUACGUGCCAGCAGCCGCGGUAAUACGUAGGUGGCAAGCGUUGUCCGGAUUUAUUGGGCGUAAAGCGAGUGCAGGCGGUUCAAUAAGUCUGAUGUGAAAGCCUUCGGCUCAACCGGAGAAUUGCAUCAGAAACUGUUGAACUUGAGUGCAGAAGAGGAGAGUGGAACUCCAUGUGUAGCGGUGGAAUGCGUAGAUAUAUGGAAGAACACCAGUGGCGAAGGCGGCUCUCUGGUCUGCAACUGACGCUGAGGCUCGAAAGCAUGGGUAGCGAACAGGAUUAGAUACCCUGGUAGUCCAUGCCGUAAACGAUGAGUGCUAAGUGUUGGGAGGUUUCCGCCUCUCAGUGCUGCAGCUAACGCAUUAAGCACUCCGCCUGGGGAGUACGACCGCAAGGUUGAAACUCAA
rnacentral:rRNA from 1 species